GACGAACGCUGGCGGCGUGCUUAACACAUGCAAGUCGAACGGAAAGGCCCUGCUUUUGUGGGGUGCUCGAGUGGCGAACGGGUGAGUAACACGUGAGUAACCUGCCCUUGACUUUGGGAUAACUUCAGGAAACUGGGGCUAAUACCGGAUAGGAGCUCCUGCUGCAUGGUGGGGGUUGGAAAGUUUCGGCGGUUGGGGAUGGACUCGCGGCUUAUCAGCUUGUUGGUGGGGUAGUGGCUUACCAAGGCUUUGACGGGUAGCCGGCCUGAGAGGGUGACCGGCCACAUUGGGACUGAGAUACGGCCCAGACUCCUACGGGAGGCAGAAGUGGGGAAUAUUGCACAAUGGGCGGAAGCCUGAUGCAGCAACGCCGCGUGCGGGAUGACGGCCUUCGGGUUGUAAACCGCUUUCGCCUGUGACGAAGCGUGAGUGACGGUAAUGGGUAAAGAAGCACCGGCUUACUACGUG
rnacentral:rRNA from 1 species